UGAGAGAACCUUUUAACUAAAAUCUAUAUCUUUAGGCUUAAUCAAUUUAUAUACUAAUUAAGUUUUAAUUUUUUUUACAGUUAUGGCCACCACCUUGUCGCUCCGAUUGCUAUUAGAUAGUGAUAAAUUGAUGGGACCAAAUUUUGAUAGCUGAUAUCGAAAGCUUAAAAUAGUUCUGAAGCACGAAUGGAUCUUGUAUAUAUUGACAAAUUUGACACCCG
rnacentral:lncRNA from 1 species